AAUCAACGCUGGCGGCGUGCCUAACACAUGCAAGUCGAACGCGAAAGGGGGCUUCGGCUCCUAAGUAGAGUGGCGUCCGGGUGAGUAACACGUAGGUAAUCUGCCUUCGGUGGGAAUAACCAGUCGAAAGAUUGGGCUAAUACCGCAUAAUGCAGCGGCACCUAAUGGUGAUUAGUUGUUAAAGCGGGGAUCGUAAGACCUCGCGCCUGAAGAGGAGCCUGCGGCAGAUAGCUAGUUGGUGAGGUAAUGGCUCACCAAGGCUUCGAUCUGUAGCUGGUCUGAGAGGACGGCCAGCCACACUGGCACUGACACACGGGCC
rnacentral:rRNA from 1 species